rnacentral:ncRNA from 1 species
AAAAGGUUUAAUGGGAGGUAAGUUUGAUUCUUGCUAAAUCGUUAGUUAUAUUUAUAUUUUAUAUGUAAGGUUUAUUCUUAAUGUUUUGUUUAGCAAUAUUUGUAAUUGAAUAUCAAGGUUACUUGGAUUUGGUGAUAAUUUAUUGUAUUGGCUUAUUUUGUGCCAGCAGCCGCGGUUAUACAUUAGAUGCUUACUAAUGGUCUUCAUUUUACAGGGGUCUAUAAUUUAAUAUAUAUAUUGUUUUUGGGUGAAAUUUUAACUUUUUUUUUAUUUUAUUUUCUGUGAAGUUCAUUUAAUAGACUAGGAUUAGAUACCCUAUUAUUUUGAAUGUAAAUUUUUUUGAGUAGUAUUAGUUAUGUUCUUGAAACUUAAAGAAUUUGGCGGUAUUUUAGUCCUUUUAGAGGAAUCUGUCUUGUAAUCGAUAAUCCACGUUGGACCUUUCUUAAUUUUUUUUUGUAUACCUCCGUUACAAUGAGGAUUUUUUUAGAAUUAAAAUCCUCUUUAUUUUCUAUAGGAGUGUAUUUCAGGUCAAGGUGCAGAUUAUAAUUAAGUUAUGAUGGAUUACAUUGUUUUUUAAUUUUUUGGUUAGGUUUUGUAAUUGAUUUAUUAAAUUGGAUUUAAUUGUAAAUUUAUAUAGAUUGUUAUUUUGAAAAGGCUCUAUAAUAUGUACAUAUUGCCCGUCACUCUCGUUAAUAUUAUGAGAAAAGUCGUAACAUAGUGGUCGUACCGGAAGGUGUGGCUAGUAU